UACACUCAUAUAAUAAUUCAUUAAUCAUGAACAACAUCAUAUACAUUCAUUCAAUCAUGAACAACAUCAUAUAUAUUUAUUAAAUAAUUCAUCAAUCAUGAACAACCUCAUAUAUACUCAUAUAAUAAUUCAUCGAUCAUUAACAACAUCAUAUUCAUCAACAUAUACAUUCAUAUAGAUAUUAAAUCAUCCAACAAAGAUAUUCACGUCACACCAAGUUAGAUCCAUCACAACAUAGGUUAAAUACUCUUAAACACCUUAAUUCAACUCAUAGUACACAAGUUUUGAAUUUUGGAGACAAUCCAUAAAUUUUGGGUUGACUUACAAAUAGUUAUGCGGAAUUUUUAUAAAAUUUCACUAAGAUUGAACUCAACCUUCCUUCAAAACAAAAAAGAAAAAGAUUGAACCCAACCUCUCUCUCUCUGUCACUCUUCUUCGGAACACCGUGACCUUCAGAAUGUUUCGGUUUUCAUCUUUGUUAACCAAACGCAACCUCACAUCACGUUUAUCGACCGUUCUCUCUUCAACUUUUCAGAUCCGACACAUCUCCAACAACGCUACUCCAUGCAUCGACGAGCCGCGGUGUAAGAUCUGGAUCGCGGGACUCAUGGGCACUGAAUCAACGAGUCCUGAGUUACGAGAUCUCUUCUAUGCCUGUGACAUGGAAGGGUAUAGAAAAACCAAAAGUCGUAAUAGCCAUAACAUGUCAAGAAUCAGAUACAAAAUAAGGUCCGAGUACCAAAUUGAUCCAUGUCAAAUAGUGUACACGUACCUGAGAUUGAAAGGCAUGAAGGUAAUGUAAUGAGAGAGUUUAUUAUAUUAUGUUUGUUUUGGAUCUGAUAUGAUUUGUUUAUUUCGGAUCUGAUUUGCUUUGUUUCUUUCUUUUGAAAAAGAAUAUGAUAUGCUUUGUUUAUUUUGGAUCUGAUUUGCUUUGUUUUUUUCUUUUUGGAAAAGAAUAUGAUAUGCUUUGUUUAUUAUUGUGGGUUAAUAUUAAAUUCAAUAACAGUAAAUCAUUAAUGGUGCGUUUGAUAAGUUAUUUUUAAUUAAUUCAUGGUGGGAACAUUUAUUCAAUCAUUGAUUUUAUCAAAAAUAAAAUAAUAUCUACCAUUGAUUUGUUAAUUUAACCUAUUCAAAGUGUGAAAUGAAUAAGAGAAUUGUUGUUCACACAUUUGAUAAGGCCGAGAAACACGAGUAAAAUACGUUUUUGCCCCCUUGGCAGUCAGUUAACUGCCGAGCAAUUCAUCAUCAACAAUGUUUCACGUAAUUCCAAUCAACAAUUCAUCAAUUAUCUUCACUUCAACAAUGCAAUAAUAACAACAACAACAACAAUGCAACAACAACAACAACAAUUCGACAAUGCAACAACAACAACUCAACAAAUGCUAAUAUGCAUGUGGUACCAUCAGAGCAUCAAGCGCCCUUCGAUUAAAUAACAGAGCAUCAAACUCCAUUUGCUUAAAAUUAACAGAGCAUCAAGCCCUCUUCGCUUAAAAUGAUUAUGUAUUGACACAACCAAUGCAACAACAACAACAACAACAACCACGACAACUUUGCAUUAUGACUUCAUAAUUCAUCAAUCAUAAACAACAUCAUAUACAUUCAUAUUCAUCAACAGAUACAUUCAUAUAAUAAUUCAUUAAUCAUGAACAACAUCAUAUAACAUCAUAUCAUCAAGAUAUACACUCAUAUAAUAAUUCAUUAAUCAUGAACAACAUUAUAUAUAUUCAUAUAAUAAUUCAUCAGUCAUGAACAACAUCAUAUAACGUCAUAUUCAUCAACAUAUACACUCAAAUAAUAAUUCAUUAAUCAUGAACAACAUCAUAUACAUUCAUAUAAUAAUUCAUCAAUUACGAACAACAUCAUAUAUAUUCAUAUAAUAAUUCAUCAAUCAUGAAAAACAUCAUAUACAUUCAUAUUCAUCAACAUAUACACUCAUAUAAUAAUUCAUCAAUCAUUAACAACAUCAUAUAACCUCAUAUUCAUCAACAUAUACACUCAUAUAAUAAUUCAUUAAUCAUGAACAACAUGAUAUAUAUUUAUUAAAUAAUUCAUCAAUCAUGAGCAACCUCAUAUAUAUUCAUAUAAUAAUCCAUCAAUCAUUAACAACAUCAUAUUCAUCAACAUAUACAUUCAUAUAGAUAUUAAAUCAUCCAACAAAGAUAUUCACGUCACACCAAGUUAGAUUCAUCACAACAUAGGUUAAAUACUCUUAAACACCUUAAUUCAACUCAUAGUACACAAGCUUUGAAUUUUAAAGACAAUCCAUAAGUUUUGGGUUGACUUAGAAAUAGUUAUGCGGAAUUUUCAUAAAAUUUCACUAAGAUUGAACUCAACCUUCCUUCAAAACAAAAAAGAAAAAGAUUGAACCCAACCUCUCUCUCUCACUCUUCUUUGGAACACCGUGACCUUCAAAAUGUUUCGGUUUUCAUCUUUGUUAACCAAACGCAACCUCACAUCACGUUUAUCGGCCGUUCUCUCUUCAACUUUCCAGAUCCGACACAUCUCCAACAACACUACUCCAUGCAUCGACGAGCCGCGGUGUAAGAUCUGGAUCGCGGGACUCAUGGGCACUGAAUCAACGAGUCCUGAGUUACGAGAUCUCUUCUACGCCUGUGACAUGGAAGGUUAUAGAAAAACCAAAAGCGGUAAUAGCCAUAACAUGUCAAGAAUUAGAUACAAAAUAAGGUCCGAGUACCAAAUUGAUCCAUGUCAAAUAGUGUACAUGUACCUGAGAUUGAAAGGCGUGAAGGUAAUGUAAUGAGAGAGAGUUUAUUAUAUUAUGUUUGUUUUGGAUCUGAUAUGAUUUGUUUAUUUCGGAUCUGAUUUGCUUUGUUUCUUUCUUUUGAAAAAGAAUAUGAUAUGCUUUGUUUAUUACAGAUCUGAUUUGCUUUGUUUCUUUCUUUUUGGAAAAGAAUAUGAUAUGCUUUGUUUAUU
rnacentral:lncRNA from 1 species